rnacentral:tRNA from 1 species
GGACUCGUAGCUCAGUUGGUUAGAGCGUCACGUUGACAUCGUGAAGGUCACAAGUUCGAGCCUUGUCGAGUCCA